CAGGAUCUCCUGUUUACUAGACAGGCGCUUUAACCAACUAAGCCACGGCGCCGCUACGGACAAAAGGAGGAGAUGAAUGGUAAAGAACGAUAGACUUAAGUCCAAAGGUUAGGGCCCGAGGAGGAGCAGGCGGGGAAGGAGAAUCGGGAACGCGCGAGUUCCGGAAGGAAAUACAUCGGCGACUUGAAAGUUUCAAGUAGAAACCGACGGAGUCUCGGGAAACCGCCGCGGAGUUACCUGCCCUGCGCAGAGGCCGCCGCCCCCCCAGGUGGGCUCCGGGCAACUGCUACUCCGUAUCCAAGCCGGCCUCGGGCCGAGUGGCGGAGGGGACGGGCUGGUCCGGCUGCUCUGGGGUAGACCCGGAGCUCCGCGCUCAGACCACCCGGCACACACAUACUUGAAAUCUCUCUCCGUCACUCCAGAAGAGAGGCCAUUUGGGGGAGACACCAACUGAAACUGAUCCAGGGAAAUCCCUCGGCAAAUGCAGCCUUAGUUUGCAGGCUCCGGUGAGGAAGACUAAGAGUAUAGGAGGCGCUUUUCCGUACUGGCUGGGUAGUGUGGUGGCGCGGGCUUUGCUUUGGCAGCCGAUAGUCGGGGGUUCGAGCCUGUUGACUUCUGAGAGUUGUGUAAUUGCGCGGGGACCCUUGCAGUUUUAGGAAUCGAUUUUUUCAUGCCCGAUGAAAGUUCUUGUCUUGUCUGCCUCGGUCUCGAAUAGCUUCAAGUCUUGUCUCUCCAAAGACGCCUAGGAAGGCGUGCCCUGGGAGUACUCCAGGCAAUGUGGAAUAUUGGAAGGACUUCAGUUCCUCCAGGGCCGGAGGAUUGAAUAAAAGGAGUGGAGUUGGAGGCCCGGAAACGUAAA